rnacentral:SRP_RNA from 1 species
GCCAGGUGUGGUGGUGCAUGCCUGUAGUCCCAGCUGCUCGGGAGGCUGAGGGAGGAGGAUCACUCGAGUCCAGGAAUUCUUGGCUGUAGUGCGCUAUACCACUGGCAUGCCAGCACUAAGUUUGGCAUCUAUAUGGUAACCUCCUGGGAGCAGAGGACCACCAGGUUGCCUAAGAAAGGGUGAACCAGCCCAGGUCAAAAAUGGAGGAGGUCAAAACUACUGUGCUGAUCAGUAGCCGGAUAGUGCCUACGAAUAGCUACUGCAUUCCAGCAACAUAGUGAGACCCCAUUCCU